rnacentral:rRNA from 1 species
GAUGAACGCUGGCGGCGUGCUUAACACAUGCAAGUCGAACGUAAAGCUCAGUGUUUACAUUGGGUGGAAAGUGGCGGACGGGUGAGUAACACGUUGGUGACCUGCCCCGAGGUGGGGAAUAACCGUGGGAAACCAUGGCUAAUACCCCAGAUGUCUAAAUUGCUAGAGGGUUUAGACUAAAGCUCCGGCGCCUUGGGAGGGGCCUGCGGGCUAUCAGCUUGUUGGUGAGGUAAUGGCUCACCAAGGCUAAGACGGUUAGGGGGCGUGAGAGCGCGACCCCCCACAAUGGAACUGAGACACGGUCCAUACUCCUACGGGAGGCAGCAGUGAGGAAUAUUGCGCAAUGGGGGAAACCCUGACGCAGCAACGCCGCGUGGACGAUGAAGGCCUUCGGGUUGUAAAGUCCUUUUCUGAGGGGCGAUAAUGACGGUACCUCAAGAAUAAGUCCCGGCUAACUACGUG